rnacentral:rRNA from 1 species
UGGAAGUAAAAAUCGUAACAAGGUUUCCGUAGGUGAACCUGCGGAAGGAUCAUUACCGAAGUCAUAGAGUUUGAGACUGCGUCUUCAAUGGCGUGUGCUCGGCUCUUACUCUUCCCUAUCCACACCUUUGUGCACCAUGGGAUGAAAUAAAAGUCCCCUUUUUAUAUUAAUACCUAGUUAUAUGCAUGUCUUUAUAUACUCUAAGGAGUUAAUACAACUUUCAACAACGGAUCUCUUGGCUUUCGCAUCGAUGAAGAACGCAGCGAAUGUGCGAGACGUAAUGUGAAUUGCAGAAUUCAGUGAAUCAUCGAAUCUUUGAACGCAUCUUGCGCUCCUUGGCAUUCCGAGGAGCAUGCCUGUUUGAGUGUCGUGAUACUGUCAAUUUCACUCUUUUUGUUUGAAAUUGGACUUGAAUGCUGUCGUGGGAGUGCCUUACGACUCAUUCUAAAUGCAUUAGCGAUCUGCCUUUGAUCACACAAUGUGAUAAUCAAAAAGCAUUGUUUGUAUUCAAGUGGAGAUGGCUUCUAACUGUCGAAAGACAAAGUGAAUGUCAUUUGACCUCAAAUCAGGUAGGACUACCCGCUGAACUUAAGCAUAUCAAUA